GCCCCCAUAGUCUAGCGGCCCAGGACGCCACCCUUUCAAGGUGGAGAUCGCGGGUUCGAAUCCCGCUGGGGGCA
rnacentral:tRNA from 1 species